UGAGGAAUAUUGGUCAAUGGGCGCAAGCCUGAACCAGCCAUGCCGCGUGAAGGAUGAAGGCCUUCUGGGUUGUAAACUUCUUUUAUGGGGGAAGAAAAUUAUGGUUUCUACUAUAACCGACGGUACCCUAGGAAUAAGCACCGGCUAACUCCGUGCCAGCAGCCGCGGUAAUACGGAGGGUGCAAGCGUUAUCCGGAUUUACUGGGUUUAAAGGGUGUGUAGGCGGGCUUGUAAGUCAGUGGUGAAAUCUUUCCGCUCAACGGGAAAACUGCCAUUGAUACUAUAAGUCUUGAAUUCUGUUGAGGUUGGCGGAAUAUGUCAUGUAGCGGUGAAAUGCAUAGAUAUGACAUAGAACACCGAUAGCGGAGGCAGCUGACCAAGCAGAGAUUGACGCUGAGGCACGAAAGCGUGGGGAUCAAACAGG
rnacentral:rRNA from 1 species